rnacentral:rRNA from 1 species
UACGUAGGGUGCAAGCGUUGUCCGGAAUUAUUGGGCGUAAAGAGCUCGUAGGCGGUCUGUCGCGUCGGCUGUGAAAACCCGGGGCUCAACCCCGGGCCUGCAGUCGAUACGGGCAGACUAGAGUGCGGUAGGGGAGACUGGAAUUCCUGGUGUAGCGGUGAAAUGCGCAGAUAUCAGGAGGAACACCGGUGGCGAAGGCGGGUCUCUGGGCCGAUACUGACGCUGAGGAGCGAAAGCGUGGGGAGCGAACAGG